UACGGGGGGAGCAAGCGUUGUUCGGAUUCACUGGGUUUAAAGGGUGCGUAGGCGGGCAGGUAAGUCCGUGGUGAAAUCUCUGGGCUUAACCCAGAAACUGCCAUGGAUACUAUUUGUCUUGAAUGUUGUGGAGGUAAGCGGAAUAUGUCAUGUAGCGGUGAAAUGCUUAGAUAUGACAUAGAACACCAAUUGCGAAGGCAGCUUACUACACAAAUAUUGACGCUGAGGCACGAAAGCGUGGGGAUCAAACAGG
rnacentral:rRNA from 1 species